rnacentral:lncRNA from 1 species
GUAUAGAGAAACAACAGUGGGCCCAGGGGACCGGUGCUCAGCACACCAAGAACCUGCACCGGCACUGAGUUCCCUCAGUUUUUAUUGAUUAUUAUCUUCAUUAUUUCAGCAAAAAGGAAUGUAGUAGGAGGGCAGGGUGAUAAUAAGGAGAAGGUCAGCAACAAACAUGUGAGCAAAAGAAUCUAUGUCAUAAUUAAGUUUAAGGGAAGGUACUAUGCCUGGAUGUGCACGUAGGCCAGAUUUAUGUUUCUCUCCACCCAAACAUCUCAGUGGAGUAAAGAAUAACAAGGCAGCAUUGCUGCAAACAUGUCUCGCCUCCCACCAUAGGGCGGUUUUUGUCCUAUCUCAGAAUUGAACAAAUGUACAAUCAGGUUUUAUACCGAGACAUUCAGUUCCCAGGGGCAGGCAGGAGACAGUGGCCUUCCUCUAUCUCAACUGCAAGAGGCCUUCCUCUUUUACUAAUCCACCUCAGCACAGACCCUUUACGGGUGUCGGGCUGGGGGACGGUCAGGUCUUUCCCAUCCCAUGAGGCCAUAUUUCAGACUAUCACAUGGGGAGAAACCUUGGACAAUACCCUGCUUUCAAGGGCAGAGGUCCCUGCAGCUUUCCGCAGUGCAUUGUGCCCCUGGUUUAUUGAGACUAGAGAAUGGCGAUGACUUUUACCAAGCACACUGCCUGUAAACAUUUUGUUAACAAGACACAUCCUGCACAGCCCUAGAUCCCUUAGACCUUGAUUUCAUACAACACAUGUUUUUGUGAGCUCAAGGUUGGGGCAAAGUGGCUGGGGCAAAGCUACAAAUUAACAACAUCUCAGCAAAGCAAUUGUUCAAAGUACAGGUCUUUUUCAAAAUGGAGUCUUUUAUGUCUUUCCUUUCUACAUAGACACAGUAACAGUCUGAUCUCUUUUUUCCCUACACGCUGUCUUGCCUUCCCUCUCUCCCUCUCCUGCUCACUCUCCAGCCCACUGUGGUCCUCCCUUAAUUCUGCUAACAUUGCACUUGUGAUCCCCGAGUGGUUUUAGAUCACUAAAUCCCACAGACCCAUUCAUUCCAUUCAUUCAUCAUUUGUCUCUAGGUUUUCUCCCCUCUCCCCCGGAUAAGUAUCUCCUCUUGUUCCUGCGGCGACAGCUUUCGUCCUGUCCUCUUGUCUCCUGCCCCACGCUGGUGACUUUCCUCGGUGGGCUGCCCUUUCUUAGCCAGUCAUUGAGGUUUCCCUUUUCUUUUCACUCCAUGGCACUCAUUUGAGGGGACACCCUCAAUACUCACUUGCCCAUCCCAGGGGAGGAUCCUGAAUGCUUCCCUCCAGCCCAGAUUUCUCUCCUGACCUCAGCCUAGCUGCUUCCUGAACAAACCCCUGGGGUGUCUCCCAGGAACCUCAGACAUGGGAGGUUCAAAUCUGAAUGUAUCGACUUCCCUUGCCAGCAAGUCCCUGCUGGGUUUCCUAUUCAGAGAACUGGGGAUCACCCAGGCACCCAAACCCAAAUAGUUAUUCUCCCUUCCACCCCACCUGCAAUCAUAAAUUCACACCCAUUCUCCUCAAAGCCUUCCAACAGAAUCAUCCCGCUCUCCCUCCCCAGCUCUGACCUAUUUUGCCCCAGUUCCCACAGAGCCCCCUCGGUGUCCAACGAAAUUAUUUAUUGCUGUCAGG